AGACACACAAUUACUAGUCUUAGGAUGGAUUUUUCUCAGUCAUUUAUACAUCGUGAGAAGUGUGUGUUAUUUGCAACUUGUUGAGGAAACACAAGAGUAGGCUGUGACCGCACUACAGAAGCGGAAUUAAACACUAAGAAUGAAUGAGGUUGAAAAGCUUUCAAACGUUUCAAGUUAUGCUGAACCAAAAAAAACCAACAAAAACAACAUAAGACAAAAAAAUAAAAAAAAUAGCCCAAGGAAAACAAGACACACAAAAUAUAAAAAGCCCACUUUUUAUUUCUGCUUUGAAAUGCAAAUGGCUAGAGCACGGUUACGGUGUAAUGAUAGCUUUGUAGGUCAGUUUUCUGUCCUGCUGGGAUGUCUGCGAGGCCACCAUCAGCAGCAACCCGCCCCCCACCCCCCACCCUGGCCCCCCAUGUACACUUCUAAGUGUGGGACCUACCAUUUGCUCUUUUCUUUCUUUCUUUUUUUUUAAGCUUUAUCUUUCCUUGUGCACCCUGACCAAGAAGUAUCUUUGAUUAUGAUCAAUGUAUUAUGUCAAAAUGUAGGCUAGUUAAACUUUUGUAAAGUUGCCUGGAAUGUCAUUUGUUAGGUUAUAAACACAAAAUCUCGAUGAAGGGUUAUAUGUGUUGUGUACAAAUCUUAAUUAUUUUCAAAUGGACAAACUUGUCAUUACAUUUGUAACCUUGUACAGAGGAUUUUUCACUAUGUGCCUAGCUUGGUGUCCAUUCAGCUAAAAUUGAAAAAAAAAAAAAAGGUGCAUGAAGAGUUACAAAUCAGAAAUUAAACAAAGUAUAUGUAGAGAUGACUAUUUUAUAUGACAUGGCCCAAUCCUGUAUUUAUUUCUACCCCCUUUUUGAAAGUAUUUAUAAAACUAGUUGAGGACAGCUGUAUUUUUUUGUUGAACUAUUUAGUAGAAUUUGUGCCUUUUUGUCUGUAUGUGAAUAAAUGCUGUACAUUUUGCAAUACA